UAUCAGAUAACGCACUGACUAACUUUCUUGCUUGUAGAUUAUAGAUUAACCGACUUUACGUGCUGACUGGUAACCCCUCAUGUGAAACUUUCCAAGAACUCCUCAGCCGCCGCGGAUUACGGAUCCACGCAGUAUCUUCCACGGGCGUUGACCGAAAGCCUUCGAUAAAUUCCCCAGACUCUACCAAUAGGAUAAUAAAGACAUAUCAAGCGUCGAAGAACACAACUGGCACAUACGGAGGACACUUAUAUAUCUCGUAAAAUCCCGACCCCACCUGUGUACGUCGAUGCGGCGUCGUGAACAACGUCCUCAGUUAUCAAAUUCGGUCGGUUUUCACCGGACUGCGCGUGGACUAGAGUCAAAAUGUUGCUUUGCCGUGGUCUGCGCCGUUACGCCCCCUUAUUUCAUCAUUAUCUCCUUUCUCUGGUUACACGUGAUACUACGGGAGCCUCGUCUGGCUUUACUUGACAUUUCUCACACGUUCCUAUGUCUCACUUUUUUUUUUGCGCAACUAAUACAACACGCAAACAAUUCCUCCUGCAACUUCUGUUUGCCUUUGUAAUCUUUAUUAUGUCCUUACUAUCUUAACGCUUAGUCCGAUGCUCAGCCGAUUUUUGCAUCAGUCAUGAGAUGGAAUAUUUUAUAGCAAACUUUUAUUAUACUCAGGCAUCUGCCAUUGCGAUACAAUUAUCUAAAUUACUUCAUCGGCUGUCUUUAUUGUUGUACGUGUAACUGUUUCUUG